CGUCGCUAGGAACCAUUAUUCCAGCUAGUUGAUAGCAUUAGUCAUUUCUUUGCAACCUCUAAAAUGACUUCUCAUUGUUUCUCGACUCUAAAUAUUCUCGCAUCAAUCAAACUAGACGACAUUUUAUUUUACAGGUUAGAAAUUCUAAAAAGUGGCUGGGAAUAAUCAGAUGGUCAUCGUAUCAGCUCAUGCAUAUCGUCAGCUUGAUCAACUAAAAUGUUCAAUUGACUACAGUAAAAAGACCUUUAUAUUCUUCAGCAGGGGAAUACAUUUUUGAUGCACCCUGUGUAUUUGCUCCUCUGGUAAAUGAACGGAUAACACCGUGUAUUGUUUUGUUCUCGAGAUUGGUUGUAUUCACUGCAUGGUUUUCACUCAAAAUAUAAAGAAUCGAUCGAAAUUUAAGGAAAUAAGGCGACAACAAUGAUAUAUUUCAUUAAUAUUUUUGCUCACAUGCUGUUGUUGGUCGGCUUAUUUCGGUUAGCUACAGCUUUAUCGUGUGAUGUUUCUGGAGAAAGACGUUUUAAAUGUGUAGAUGAUGUACAUGAGAAAUAUCAUUGUCCGAAAACAUGUUGCUAUAACAAAACAGCAAGUCCUUCAUGUUAUUUCACUGAUAAAGAUUAUGGUCUGAUUCAGCACGCUAAUGGACUUUGCGUAAUUGUGCGAGAAAGUGAUGGACUGCUUGUUUGGUCAAGCAACUGCACUAUGAGAAAUGCUUUCUUCCUGGUGUCAUAUGAUUAUCCAAUAUACAUCGCGGAAACAGGACGUUGUGUUUUACCAACAAAUUUACGAAAGAAGGUUUCGGGACGGCGAAAAUUUGAACAUUCAAUGAAAUGAAUCUUGCCCUAACUGGAUUAUUGAAGUCCGAUCAGCUGAAUUUGGUGUUUUGAUGGAAGAAAAUGGUGGUAUUAGAAAACCAUAUAUGAUAUCUUUGCUAGACAAUAAAUGUCUGUCGUCGUCAGCAUAUAAAGUUUUGCAAAAGCAAUGUAACGGAAAGAGCAGAUGUUUGUUUACCGUGAGGAAAGAUAAUUUCUUAUCGAAUUCAUCAAGUUGCAGUAACUUUACAUCGUUACUUCUAUAUUACACAUGCAAAACUUCAAUGUCAGGGAACGGUAGUGCAACAUCAGUAACUAUGAGAUCUGUAACUACGACACCAGUAGUUACGACAUCAGAAAGGUCAUCUUCAUCAGCGACAAAAUGGUACUUUAUUUUUGUGGCGUUCAUUUCAGGAGUUUUGUUGGGAAUUUUUCUUUCGUAUUUAAUAUUUUUGUGCCAUCGUCGAUGGUCAAAAAGGAAACUUCAAUAUGUUCCAGAAGACAUGCAAUACAUAAAAAAUUCCCUUCAUGACUCAGUGGACUUUAAUUAAAAUAAAAACUUUUCAAUCUACGAAAAAACAACCCAUGUGAGAAAAAACAUCAAAAACUGGUCUAUACGAAAAGGAAUAAGAAUAACCAUCAUUUAUAGCAAAAGAAAUGAACUGAAAUGAUGAAAGAUAAAAAUCAAUUUAUAAAAAACUGAAUUGAGGUUUUUCUAUACAAUAUUAUUUUGCAUUUCGCUUUGUCAUGCCUAACAACAAAAUGUGAUUUUUUAGUCAGGUGAUAUAGUUGAUUUUUCCUUUUUAUAUUUUCUGAUGUAACUACGAAAAUAAAUCAAGAUUAUUACCAAGCACUAAUGGUAAAAGAAUACAUGUAAGAGCAUCAUAGAGGAUGAAAAUCAAUUUAAAAGAACUUGAAUUGAAUAAAUUUAGUUUUUAUAGAUAGUUUUA